rnacentral:rRNA from 1 species
AUUGAACGCUGGCGGCAGGCUUAACACAUGCAAGUCGAGCGAGCGGCGGACGGGUGAGUAAUGUAUGGGAAUCUGCCUGAUGGAGGGGGAUAACUACUGGAAACGGUAGCUAAUACCGCAUACCAUCGGAUGUGCCCAUAUGGGAUUAGCUAGUAGGUGGGGUAAAGGCUCACCUAGGCGACGAUCCCUAGCUGGUCUGAGAGGAUGACCAGCCAAACGGGAACUGAGACACGGUCCAGACUCCUACGGGAGGCAGCAGUGGGGAAUAUUGCACAAUGGGCGCAAGCCUGAUGCAGCCAUGCCGCGUGUAUGAAGAAGGCCUUCGGGUUGUAAAGUACUUUCAGCGGGGAGGCGUUACCCGCAGAAGAAGCACCGGCUAACUCCGUGCCAGCAGCCGCGGUAAUAC